UAUUAUUAUCAUGAGUAGCUAGGCUACUACUCUUACACAAUACAUUCAAGUGGUAAAGCUCACAUAGUGUGCCUCAUCACUUUUAUUCAUGAUACAUACUUUUACAUGCAUAAGUUUAUUUUUUUUCAUAAGUGACACCAUAUCACACAUAAGCCUACAACACAACGUCUAGUGUGUGUUACUAUAAGCUUUUACCAUUAUGGAUCAGUUGAAGUCACCAUUGUCCAAGUGUUCGCCAUUGUUAUUGACGGUUUCAUUGGCAAACAUGGCGGUGGCACAACCUUUGCGACAAUUGCUCUGGCAGCCAGAUCCACAGUAGUCACAACUAGUGCCACACCAACCAAACUUGCUGCAACAUAGCUUGUUGGGACACUUACGCUUACCGUUUUGUCGACCACAUUGUUCUGCAUAAGUUGUAGUGAGCAACAAGGCUAAAAUCACAAACACAAGGGUUGUAGAGAACUUCAUCCUUUUGGUUCUUAAUUUUUUUUUUCUAUGUGGAAUAGUUGGG
rnacentral:misc_RNA from 1 species